GUCUACGGCCAUACCACCCUGAACGCACCCGAUCUCGUCUGAUCUCAGAAGCUAAGCAGGGUCGGGGCCUGGUUAGUACUUGGAUGGGAGAAAACUAUAUUGUAUGGU
rnacentral:rRNA from 1 species